rnacentral:tRNA from 1 species
AGAUUCAUAGCGUUCGACUCCAGAUCGAAAGGUUGUCUGUUCAAAUCAGGCUGGGUUCA